UACGUAGGUGGCGAGCGUUGUCCGGAUUUACUGGGCGUAAAGGGAGCGUAGGCGGACUUUUAAGUGAGGUGUGAAAUACCCGGGCUCAACUUGGGUGCUGCAUUUCAAACUGGAAGUCUAGAGUGCAGGAGAGGAGAAUGGAAUUCCUAGUGUAGCGGUGAAAUGCGUAGAGAUUAGGAAGAACACCAGUGGCGAAGGCGAUUCUCUGGACUGUAACUGACGCUGAGGCUCGAAAGCGUGGGGAGCAAACAGGAUUAGAUACCCGCGUA
rnacentral:rRNA from 1 species